AAGCAGAUGACUUUUUGGCUUUGGAGCCAGGGCUGUCAUGCACUUGCCAGAUCUGCAGCAUUGUUAUGAACAUAGGUGUUCACCUGAGCCUGUUAACCUGCUGCUUUUAAACCAGCGAGGAAGAGAGCAGAGCCACCCCGGGCAGGGCGAGCAUCCAUCGGACUGGAAAUCAAGCGCACUCCGCUGUCCUCCAAUCCAACUUAUCCUGGGAGCAGCUCCGUCGCAUUGCUUUAAAACGUCAAAAAGGGGGUUAAAUCAGGAUUUCCAGUCUAGUGUUAUGAAAAGAGGGUUUAUAUUUAUUGUAGUUUUUGGUAUAUUCCGUCAGUUUGGCUCCCCGACAGUCCUGCAGGUCUGCCCGGCCACAAGCUCCGUCCUCUCCGGCAGGGAAACAACCGAUUAAAGGGCUCCUCUCCGUCCUAUAGCCGCCCCCCAAAGUGUCCCAAACAGCCGCUCCACGUCCAAAUAACUUCAACCAACAAGUGGAAACAGUAUCGUGUGUUAGCAGUAACCUCUAAAGCUGCUGUUAAUCCGUGUAGCUGAGGCAGAUAUCGAGUUUAGGACGAGCUGGUUCUCCCAAGUCCGUCUCCUCCUCGCCUCCUCUGCUCGGGACCAUUUCAAGAUGGCGUCACGGGCUGGUGUCAAGUUGAACCAACGGACACUCUGGGAAGAACAACUUCCUCAAUGUUUCAAAACAAAAGAUUCUGGACGUGUUCAGGAAGGUGUGUUAUGAUAACAAUAACAAACAUUAAGCAAAAAAAUGCUGAACCAGGAGUUAGACGGUGCCCGGUACUGUGCAAGAAUAACAGUUAGCUACAAAACCAAGCAAAACAUGUGGAACCAGGAAGAAUAACAGUUAGCUACAAAACCAAGCAAAAAAAGUGGAACCAGGAAGUUGCCCGUACCUGUGCAAGAAUAACAGUUGGCUACAAAACCAAGAGUCAGAAGUGACCAGUUCCUGUGAGGAGAGGCCGGAUCAGUCCUUCAUUUUCAGUCGACUUCACGGAGGAGAGUUUAACUUCAGAGGUCAAAGGUCAUCCAAGAAGUGUGAAAGAAACGUGUGUGUGGGAGUGAGGGGUUGAAAUAAGGUUUGUGAUUAAAGCAGAGACGGAGCGACGGCCCUGACUGCAGGAACGUCAGAUUUUUGCAGCUGCACUGAUCCAUUCAUCACUCCCACAGAGAACACAGACAACAGCUGCAGCUGUUUUUCACACUGUACACCGACUCUUACUUGUGAAGGGUGAAUACGUUUGUCGAGCAAGGUCGAGCACCGUGUCUGGGAACCAGAGAAAGGAUUUUUAAUUGGACUUUUUGAAUGAAUGUACGAGAGAGACAGAAAAUCAUUCACAGGAAAUGUUUGUGAUUUAGAGACUGGAGGUGAUUCAUUUCAUGCAGGGAACAAUAACGCAGAGAACAUAUAAAAAUAGAGGUGUGGAAUCGUGUGUGUUAUGUGGUCCGGAAACUGAAUCACCCUUCUUUUGUUUGAAGUGUUUCAUCCUCUUUUUAAGGUGGUGAUUUUCUCUGAUUGCAUUUCUACAUCUCUAGCAUGUUGCUGCUCACAAACAGAACACCUUGUUGCAUGCAUGUGCAAGUGCAUGGUCUAUGGAUGGAGUUAAAGGGACACUUUGAAUAAAGGAAUAAAAACAAGUCAUGCUGAAUU